rnacentral:lncRNA from 1 species
UUUUGAAAUGUCAUCCAUGGAUAAUAGCUUCAAUUUUAGGAAAGAUUUAAAUGUAUAACUUUCCUCAUUCAGUGCUGUGUCAUUUCACAGUACAGAUCUGCGUUAAUUUUUGACAGCUCAUAUAUACAGAUUUUUAGAAAUGUAAUAGAAAAUGAUUUUGCACAUAUGGUGCAAGUCUUGCUGGUGUAUGUUUAAUGUGGCAACACGUGCCAGAACUGUUUGGCAAAACAUGUCAAAUGGAGUGCUUGAGUCAGAACUCUAAUGUAAAUGUGUCUAAACAGCAGUAUGUAUCAUUAUGAUGUAUUUUUGUAAACAUAGUGAUGGCUGCUUUCAGUCAUGUAAGUGCUGGAUAAAAAUAACCACUUCAGUUGGAGUAAUGUAGGAAAACGUCACCCAGCAGAUGGGUAGUCCUCUGCAAAGUUACACUGUCAGCCAGUGGCACUGGUUCUUUUAUUUAUGUUGGGUUUUUGUUUUUUUUUUAGAGGAGAGUGAAGAAUUGACAUCAGACAACAUGGAGUGCAAAAAUAAUAACCCAUCAAUAUUUGCCUUCUAAAUGUAAAAUGUAAAAGUUUAACUGAUCUGUGUACACAUUAGAGACCACUUUCACACGCCACAAUAUGUUCAGUUGCAGGUUAACACUGAGAGGUUGAGACUUCCCUCAUCUGAUGACCAGCUUGGUUAAUUUGACUUCUGAAGGCACUAAAUUACCAAGUAUUUGCAGUAAUGGGGACCGGAUUAAUUUUCCUCACAAUUCUCUAUAGCUGUCUGAUAUAAGGGCUGUGUUUUUAUUGAAUCACAGAUCCUCAAAUUACAGUGAAAGCAUGUCUUGCUAGUAAGACUCAUUUGAAAACCUCUUUAUUCUUGGAAUAAUUGGGCCAGUACAAGUGGCCAGAUGUAUCCUGGCCACAUUGGAAAACUAUUUGGGCCCGUUCAGAACCACUUAACUGCAACAACAGUAGUAACUAUAGUUAAUAUCUAUCUAUUGAGUUAUUGUGUGACAGUUACUUGGAUAAGUACUUUAAUGCAUUCUCAUUUUAAUCCUCACAGCUACCCUAUGAGGCUGUUACUGUUCUUAUCCCCAUUGUAUUGAUAAGGAAACUGCCCAGGGUACUCAGCUAAGAAGAGGAUUGCUUUGGGCAUAGGAAGCAGAAUGACGAGUUCAGUCUUCCUCAGUAGUUGGAGCACAGUUCUCAAAGCCCAUCAACACUUUGGAAUGGAUUUGUUGUUUUAUUUAUGCCAUCAAGGGAGAGUUGAUAUUUGUGUAUUGCUAAAAACUACUAAAGUAUGUCGAUGCUUAGGUAGGAACAUACAAACCAUAUAUCCUCUGGGAUCUGCCCAGGUUUCUGUAUAAGGCUUGACCUACGUAAGAUCCUAUGAUGAAGACCAGAAAACUUUUUUUAAAAGUAGGUAAAUUAAAAUUAAAAUCACGAGUUUGUUCACAUUUGUCCCAUAGGUUCCUAGUGCAAAAAUGCAGGGAGAUAAAAGCAAACAUUUGAACUCAGUGAAGUGAGAGUCUUUGGGAACUCCUAGAUGUUAGAAAUAGCACCGGGGCAUCAGGUAGCCAACGUUCAAUUCACUUUUCACGUUUGUGUCUUUGUAGCUUUAGAGCUGAUGAGUCUGAUUGGUUUGGAAGAGAGAGUUUUAAUUUAUGAUGUCACUGUGAGAACUGUUGUGAAAAUUUUGUAAGAAAAUACAGUAAUCUGUUGAUUUUUUCCUGUAGUUUUGGCUUUCACAUCCCUUUGGCUGUGUUUAAGUUCAAGAGCAUGCCAAGGCCAUGAGGGUCCUGGCUUGCACUUCUUGGGAACAGGGCAUGCUAGAGGUGGGUCAUGAAGCUUUCAAGGUCACUGUUCCAGCCCGACCCUGCGCAAUUUAGGCAUUGCCUUUAUGUCUCUCCUCUCUGGAACUUCAUGUAGCAGCCUAACACCGGGGCCGAGUUGCCUUUACUCUAUUUUCUAUGAUGAAUACUUGUGGAGAAACUGUGACAAAUCCAUUGAUCCUGAUAUUUUUAUUGUUGGAGUCUUGUUGAUUCUCUAUGAAUAAUUUCUAUUUGAUUGUACUGUGUAGAGUUAAUACCCACUAGGGAUAUGUUAAUAAAGCUACAAAUGCAUAGUGUAAUAUAGAAUAGCAAGAUUUUUUUGUGAACAAUUUAUAUAGAAGAGUAAGUUGUUUUUUAAGUGUUAGGCUCAUUUCUUUUAGAAACUUAAAAUGUUAUAAAAGUUUUUUAAACAUUCAAUAUUUUUAAUUAUAAGAGACAUUUGUUACUAGAGCCAAUUAUUUCAGGUGUUCUAAUUGGAGUGUUGAUUUUAUUACCUCAUAUACCUCUAGAAUGCCACGUGUUCUGUUGGGGAUAAAAUUGCACAAUAAAUGUCAAGUCUCUGUUAAGUGUUUUAACUUGGUUUUUGCAUCUUUCUAAUUCAUUGUAAAUACUUUUCUGUUUCUUUGAAUACAUAACUUUUCUCUCCCUG